ensembl:lncRNA
UCUGAUCAUCUUAGUGGUCCUUGUCUGGACACAUUCCAAGAGCUCCAUGUCCUUCUUGUGCUGGGGACCCCAAGACUGGACACAGCCCUAAGAUGCAUAUCUUAAUUUAGGCAGUGGGAUCUCUUGAUCAUGCUCUCAUGUCAAUUGCUGCUGUUACUCAUAAAUGUAAAUUCAUCACCCACAUAGUUGCAUUUCUCCUUGGCCCUUUUUUCUACAUCACUGUGGAGCGCACGGAGAUGUCAGUUGCCUUUUUAUCUUCUCAGAAAGCCUGGCACGUGGUCGUCUGUCAAAACCAUAUGCAGGCUUCUUGAGUUCCAGCUAUGAAUGAAGUCAUUGUGUCUCUUCACUCCUAUACCCAUAUGCUAUGGAUAUCCAGAGUUAUCCUGUUGCAGUUGAUAAACCUGCAAUAGGAAGGCCAUGGUCCCCUGGUUUCCAGGCUCUGGUGUAUACUUCCCAAAUCCUAGAGAAAGACUUGGUUAUGAGAAGGUGACAUAGGUAUGGUUGUGCCUUUGGUCACAUCUUAUCCAUUGUGGUUAGAUAAAACCAUAGAGGUAAAAAUAGGAUUUUAAAAUAAUCCCCUGUGUUCUUUUGACAAGUCAGGAAAAUGUAAUUAGUCUCUAUGGGAUUUCCACGUUCAGUGACACUCAGGGAAGCUGACACCAGUGGACCGCUAGAAUAAAGAGGGCAACCUAAUGGAGAGAUUGUAAUAUUUUAAGUAGCCUAAUGCCAUGCAAGAAUGUAAUUUCUAUUGUGUUGUAUUGUCUGUGUAUGUGAAUACUGAAUUCGUUCUCAUUACUGCCAUAAAAUACUCAGUGGCUAAAUUUUCCUUCUCCUGCCAGAUCAAUAACAUCUGCAAAUAGCAGAUUAGAUCAGAAUCUGCUUUCCCAGAUUUACCAAAUAUAUAUAUGUACAACGCCAGAGGAAAAAGGAGCAUACUUCUCUCUGCACAGGGAAGCAGCUUGCUUAGAAAUCUGCAAGAUUACCUGAACAUUCUGUUUUAGAAAUUCCAAAUUUAGAAAUUCUUCAAUUUCCUUCCCUUUAGCUUUUUUUUCCCAUGCUUUUGCUGCUUGAAUUUGAUCUGUACCUCUUGACUCUGGUAUCUGCUGAUACAUGAUGUCCUGCCCAUCCAUUGAUCACGGCUUGUUGUGUGGUUCCUUUGAAUAAAUGGCAGAUCCUUGCUUAAUGUACAGUGCCAUAUAACAUACAAAAUAUAAUCAUAUAACUUUUCAAGAAAACAUCAUUAAUCUUGGACUUUCAUUUCAGUUUUCUGUCUCGGUCUGUAACGGGUUUUGUUUUUUCACUGUCCAAUCUUUGUGCAAUGGAUUGCAAUGUGCAAUGUCCAAUCCUUGCUCAGAAGGCCAGACUUUGAUUCUCAUACUUAGAGGUCACAGACUGUUCCUCAGACAGGAUGUUUUUUUUACCUGCACUAUCUGAACAGGUAUUGCCAGUCCUCCUUUUCUAUGAUUUGUUCCAAAACAGUGUAACUGGGGCUUCAGCUUACAUGUUUCUCAGCUUGUAAAUUGACCAGUAUGAUUUAUUUUCACUUUCUGCCAGCAACUCUACUUACAUGGAAAUGCUGCAGAGCUGGUUCCAGGAGGCAAGGAGCACAGUUUCAGCUUAGGGACUUUUUCAUCUCACUUCUUUUCUCCCUGCUUCUCACAUACAGAGAGAUUUGGUGUGUUGGUAUGUUGACAACACUAAUAAGGAAGCUGCAGAACUGUUGAGUGAAGGUAGUUGCUCGUUAAACUGGUAAUUGUAUAAGAGAAGAUGCUGAGCUCAGAGUCACGUGUAAACCAAAAAUUGAAAUAAAUAAAGAUGUUUGUGUCUUCAGAGAAAACUACUUUAUAGUGACAAAAUUAGGGAGAAGUGAGGAGCGUUAUAAGUCUUAGUCAGUCUGCCAAAAUUGUUGAGUUUUGUGUGGUUGGAGGAGGUGGGAAUUAGGCUCUCCAGCUGUUCUCCCUGUUGUCACGUACACCAAUAGCUGGUUUUCUCUAGAGAGUUUGCAAAUGCUGAUGUUAUUUUUGUUCCAUAAUUUUAUACCCUUGAGUUCACCCAUAAGGAACGAAAAUGAGUUUGAUAAACAGGACUUAUUAAGGCUCUGCUGAUCAACGAAGAUGAACGUGGUUAAUAAUUUAGCAUUAUUUUAUUAUUCAAAAUAGUGUCUUUAGUAUCAAACAUUUAUAUGAUACGUUAUAGAGAGUUUCCCAAUGGUAAAAAACAAAUGAUAUAAUUUAAGCAAAAUUACUCAUGUAACUCUUAUCUGAGGUUUAACUGACACAAGGCCCUGUGACAGUCCUUUGUACUGAAAAGAAAUUUGACAUGAGAGCAGAACUGGGAUUUCUUGUACGACUGCUAACAACAAAGAGCAGCUUGAGAGGUAUGUGUCAUCCACCUGCUGACAUGGUCUGCAAAAGAAAACUUGUUCCGGAGACCUCAUCACCACUGAGAGAGACAAGCAUCCAUGCUGGCACCCAUAUCUCCUGGAUUUGGUCGUAAGUCAUGAAAUUUGUCUCACGAGGAUUAGAAACGCUGCCAUCUGCAAUACAGACAUUUCUAUCAGCGGAUGUGACCAGGAAAACCUAGUGUUUGUCAGUAAUUGCUUCUAAAAAUAGGCACUGUCUCUUAAAAGUGAAACAGGAGGGUGACAAGGAGCUUUAAAACAAUUCUCGUUAGUGGCAGAGAAUAACCCACAUCUAUAACUGUGUUGUAAGGCCAGCACUGUUGCUGUGGUGGAGGGCGCUAAGCCCCUGGCAGCCCAAAUGCUGCCUUUGUACCUCAGUCCCACGUGGCACCAUGGGUAGGAGGCCCUGACAUACUCCCCCCAGGCUCCAUUUUCUCACAUGAUGGAGAGGAGCUGCAUCAGCAUGGGGCAGGGGAGUGGCACAGGCACAAAAGCUGUUGGGGUGGGAAGGGAAAGGUAGCACGGACCAGGUCAAGGGGCAGGAUUAGACCUUCUGUUCAUCCUGGAGGACAAACCCACACAGCCUUUACCUCCUCCAAGGGGCCUUGCAGACUCUCUUUUGUAAAUGCUAAUCAAGAGAGUAAAUCAGAGCUUGUUGUCAGUGAAGUAACAUGGGAUAGCUUUCUCCUGUCUCUUAGCAAUGGGUCUUCUGUGCUGCCAAGAGACAACUGAUAAUGACUUCUUAAUACACUUGCUCUG